rnacentral:lncRNA from 1 species
CAAGAACUAAACAGAAAGACAGUAGAAUGAAUUGGACAUAAUUUUUCAAUAUUCAUAUGUCAAUACACCACCAGUGAAACUCCACAUCAUAUACAAGAAAGGGAUCCUCAUUAGAUUAAGUUAUACUCUAUGUAUUAUAAUUGGUCAAAAUACACUCUACUGUCAUGUAUAUCUAAAAAGAAUUUAAAAAAAGAUAUCAAGAACUAAUCUUACUUUCCAGAGCCAGAUUUUUGCUCCUUUCAUUAUCUACACCACUCACUCCCUGCAAUCUAUAACACCAAACAUUUAACCAGUUAUGCCCCUUUUGAAAUCUGACAUAUUUCUCAAGAACCCUCUAGGUCUCUUAAAUCCAUAGCUUCUUUGCCUUUUUACUGCUCUGACUACCCAGAACCCUGCUCUAAUUCACACUCCCUCAUCUUAUCACUAAAGUCCUUCUCUGUUUUCUUAAUUAUACUCUACCAUAGCUCACCUGUUCAUUUUGACCAUCAUUUCAUCAGAGCCAAGGAUAUAGUAUUCUCCUGAGGUACAAGUCCCUCAUGAUUCACAUGAUUCCUCAAGAAAUAAAAUUAGUCUUCUCUAUAGACAGACCACUCACCUUGUAGACACCCUAGCUGGUUGAUCCUGAUAUUUGUUAAUGUUGCUAGCAGUGCUUGUUUAGAAUUUAUCUUACUAAAAUGCCCUUAAACUUUGCUCUUAACCAAAAUUUUAAUUAAAAAUGUAUGGCAUCAUGAGCUAGUCUACUAGUUCCCAUUCUAUCCAGGUCCUUGAACCUCUGUUAGAUACCCCGUUCAUUACCAUUGAGCCUUCCCAUUCAAGUUGACCAGUUGGGCCUAAUUUGAGAUCUGAACAUUGUGGAUCUCUUUUUCAGACACUUGAUCUGAUCUACCUCACUGCCCCUCCAUGAACUCUUUUGUAUUUUGUACAUCAGUCCAUUAACUCAGCUAAUAAAUACUUCCUUCUUAUUCCAUCAUAACCUAGGUUCAAAUAUGUGCCAUAACCCAUCAGUCUAUAACUUCUUCCCUUAUUCAAAUCAUUCAUCUUACUUUGUUCCUCCAUUUCUUUCCCCUCUGUUUCUUAUUGUAUCCUAGAGAAUUAUGCAGCCCUAUCUAUCCUCUUUGACCCUCCUUUCAGCUACCAUGUACAUGACCUUCUUACAAGUUCAAUUGUUUCCUCUGGAUACUUGCCUUAUGUUGAACCCUCCCUGUACAGUGCACUGCCAUCUCCCCUUGUGUCCUACUUUCUUUACUGUAUUUGCUUGUACUCACAGUUCAGCCUAAAAUCUGGUAGGAUCUUGCUACUGACCUGUUUUUUAUGCCCGUCCUACUUAGCCUCUUUCUUACCUCUCACUAUAUUGACCACACAGAUAACCUCCAGUAUUUUUCCAACAAAGCUUUCUGGACAGCAAAGCCUUACACCUCUGCCACAUUCUUAUCUCACUGUCUCUCCUUGUUAAUACACAACUCUGACAAAUUUUUAAUUCCCAUUUCCUAAAGUUGCUGUUCAGCUCAUUUUCUAUACUGCAUGUUCUGCUUCUAGCCUAAUUCACACAUCCUCUCUCUUUAUUUAGCAUUCAAUGUCCAUCUUCUACUCUUUACUUCUUCACUAUUUUUUAUACAAAUCUCCUCAGUUGCUUCCCUCACGUUUGACAAAUCUUAACAUGUUAAUUUCUAAGUACAUCUUUGAUGUUCCUCUUAUAGAAGGUUCUUCUAGAUUUCUUUUUGGAGAUUUCCCAGGUAUAUCCUAACCUUUCGUAAUGAAGGACAUAUAUUCUUUUUGAGGUCUCCUCCUCUUCAUGUCCCCACUCUUCCCUUCACUCAGAACCACUUUUCUGCUCUUUAGAUGUGCUUUCCCCUUAGAUAGCAUCUAACUUUUCCUCUUCCUUUUCCAUCAUGACUUUUGGCCCAAGUAUUUUGCCAGAUCCCUCCAGUUAGUACAUAUUCCUCAUAUUCAAUUCAGCCAUCUUCCUGGAUUAACAUAAAAUUACUCUUCCGGACUUCCUUCACCCCUUGCCUGUGUUCUUCAUCCUGUCACUCUUUAAUGCCCUUACCCAUUGGCCAUUUUAGCACACUACCAGUUGCACCCUCCAGCCUCACCUUUUUGCCAUUUUUAGCCUUCAUCCUCUUCAUUCUCUCCUUCUCUCCUAUCCUUUCAUACAAGUCUCCUCAGUUGCUUCUCCAAUUUUCAGCUAAUUCUAAUGACAGUUGCUAGAAAAGGUUCUAUUUUAGAAUUAUUCUUAAUCUGCCUUCGUCUAAAGCAGUAGCCCCAAACUAUAGAUUACUAAAGAUCAAACUGACAGGGGCUACUCUGAGUUUCUGACUCAGUGGGUCUAAGGUCAGGGUCUGGGGAAAAAAUUUAUACUACUAACAAAUUCCUAGGUAAUGCUGUCAUUUAAGAAGCAUUGCCAUUAACUUUCCCUUCAGCCAAAUCCUUUAAUUAAAAAGUUUCCACCAAAACAUCAAAAAUAAGUCUAUUUUUGACGCUUGUUGUUCAGGUCUUUGUUUUACUCCCAUAUACUUAUCAUUGUAAUCUGGCCUCAUACCUAGCAAAUCUGACUACGCAGGCCACUCUGGAUCUUACUGAAUUCUCCGUGCAAAUCUGACUAUGCAGGCCACUCUGGAUCUGACUGAAUUCUCUGUUCUGGGAAUCUUUAUGGUGCUGUGGUCUUUCUUAUUACCAUUCCACCUCAGAAUCAUUCUCUAGGUUAUAUAGUGCUCCUCUAAGCUUUAAUCCCUCUUCUUCUAUGUCUUUUGGCCCAAAUGAGGCCUUCUCCCUCCAGUCAGUAUCUGGCAGCCUUCAGAUGAUAUUUUCAUUUCUUGCUUUCCUGUUCCUGUCCUUCUUGAUAACUUAUCCAGGGACCAGUGCUUGAGCUAUAAAGUGUAAACAACAACAAACAGGAAAGGAAAGGGAGGAAGGGAGGAAUGAACUAAAUAAAACGCCUUAUUGCCAAGCUCUCUUCAUUUAAAACCUAUGUUUCAUUCAAAUGGAUUCAGUCUACUUUUGAACAGUGCUCCCUAUCCAGCUUCUCUCUCCAGGAUCUGACUUUGAUUUGCCAAAAAACCUCCACAUGAUGGAGUUACUGCUUUUUUUUUUUUUAAUUCAUUAUAUUUGCAAAACUUACUUAUGCUUUCAGUAAAGUUUGUUUUUCAAAAAGAUAAUUGAAUUAAUGAGAAGGGAAAUUUAAUAUAGUAAGUUUUAAAUACAGGUUCAGGUGAUUUAAGGUGUUUAACAUUGUAAAUUGGAAAAAUUAUUAUGUCCAUUGGUCUCCUGUACAGCAAAUUUUCCUGUGGUUCCAGACACAAGGCAUGAUUGUACUUCUGAACCUUUUUGCUGGUUGGUAGCAGCCAUGUGAUCAAUUCUGGUGAUCGGUAUCACUUCCAAGCUGAAACUUUUCUUUGCCAGUGUGACAUACCCUAGUGCUUUCUUCCCUACCCCAAAGAUGCUUGCAGAGAGGGCAGCAUUGAGAAAUGGAGAUUCCACCCAAACAGGACUUACAGUAUAGAGGUCCUCAAUGACUUAAGUUGGACCUGUCAUAUUACAGUUACUUCUAUGAGUAACCUCAGUGCAUCAUGUAAAGAGCACGUUACAUGAUAUUCAUUUGUUAUCUCCCUUUGGUGACCUUCCCUCCAAUAUCUUAAUUACACAUGGCAUAAACUCAUCUCCCAUCUAUACAUGGAAAUAACAAAUGAAGUUUUACUCUUUAGUUACAUUCCCAGCAUGAUCUCCAGACACUCUUGUAUGGUAAUCUAUUCUACAGAAAAAAAUACUCAGAGUUCUCUCCUGGCUCUUUAAUUCAUCUUAAUUCUUGUCUUUCUGACCAUUUUAAUUAAAAAUCUCUCACCAAAGAUUGUCCUAACUGGUCAGACCCUUGUUCUCUCAUUGCAUAUGCUGCUUUUUGAAGUCUGGCAUUAAGAGCCAACAUUUGACCAAAAGACUCACAUUAUAAGGUCUUACAGGGUCUCCCACUCUGGGAAACACCAUUUCUCAUCCUAUCUCCCCAAUGCAAUUCCUCCUGCUCUUAACUACUCUUCAUAUAGUGCUCCCAAAACUUAGUUCCCUGUCUUCCCUUUCUUACUUGUGAUCUUUAGUAUAAUUAUCAUGCCAUAUCCGUCUUAUCAAUACCUGCCAGUCUUCAAAUGACUCCAUCUUUUCUGCAUGCUCUUCCACUCUUUCCCGAUUGACCCUAGUGAAACCCUUGUUACCUAUACAAUUGCUUUUUUUUUUUCAGCUGCCAUCUUUAGAUCAUUCUCAUGAAUUUGAUAGUUCUUUCUUUCAUCUCCCUUGUUUCCUACAUUAUUCUGAAUACAUUUACAUUCUUAGUUUAGUCCAGACCAUAGGAGGAGUUCCUGCCACUGACCAUGGCUCAGAUCCAUCCCAUUUAAACUCCUUGGCCUUUCAGUCUAUUGAUCAUAAUUGUUCUUUGAAAUAUCAUUUAAGCAAAGAUUCUCACCCUCAUGACAAAAAUUCUUAUUUAGCCAUUUUUUCUUCACAUGCUUUCUCCACCUAUAGUUAUAGUCUAGCUUAACUCUCACCUACAUAUUCCUCAUAUUCAAUUCUGCCAUCUUCCCGUAUUCUUCAUUUUGGCCCUCUUUAAUGCCCUUCCCUGCCCACAUUUUGUAUUAUACCUCCCAGACUAAAUCCUACUUCUUUUCUCCCUUUUAGCUUCUAGCCUCCAUCUUGUCCUUUGUGGUAUUCUCCCUAGGAAAUGUGUGUUGCUUUUAGCCUAUCUCCCCAAAGCAGGGUAACUUUUAUGAGCAACUUUAAUGACACACACUAUACAGUAAUCUACAAUAUCUUAACCACCUGUCCUACUUUCACAUACCAUCUCGCUACAAAAUAAAUGGAUGCAGAAUUCUUCUCCUCAGAUAUAUUUCCUUCCUCAUAAUCUUCAAUCAUUCCCCAUCUAAUAGCAGAAAUCCAUUCUCUGGACAAACUACGUAUUCAUACUCUUGAAUAAGAAAGCCCCCCCCCAAAAAAAAAAAAAGAAAGCCCAAUAUCUCUGAAGUUGUCAGCAAUAACUUUCUAUUAGCAAAUCAUUUAAUCAUCUUCCUUAUAAACUUUCUUUUCAACCAAGACCUUUAACCUAACAGUUUCUCUCCAAAGUUUCAAGACCUAAUCUCCUGCAGCCUCCUACUCAAAUCCUGUCUCUCACCCUAUUUUUUCCCAUUUCCUUUGUGAGUAAAAUGUGACCAACUAGACCUAGUUGACAUUGACCUUAUAGGAUGCCCCAUUUGAGAUCUUUAUUCUAUACCUGUUUUGCCUAUAGGCCUCCCACUAUAUCUUAG